rnacentral:rRNA from 1 species
GAUGAACGCUAGCGGCAGGCUUAACACAUGCAAGUCGAGGGGUAACGAUGGUGCUUGCACCAGGCGACGACCGGCGCACGGGUGAGUAACGCGUAUGCAACCUACCUGUUACAGAUGGAUAGCUUCCGGAAACGGAAAUUAAUACGUCAUAGACCAUUAAUAACGCAUGUUAUAAAUGGUAAAGCCUUCGGGUGGUAAUAGAUGGGCAUGCGUGCCAUUAGUUAGUUGGUGAGGUAACGGCUCACCAAGGCGAUGAUGGUUAGGGGUUCUAAAAGGAUUAUCCCCCACACUGGUACUGAGACACGGACCAGACUCCUACGGGAGGCAGCAGUGAGGAAUAUUGGUCAAUGGGCGCAAGCCUGAACCAGCCAUGCCGCGUGCAGGAAGACAGUCCUAUGGAUUGUAAACUGCUUUUAUAUAGGGAGAAUAUUAUCUACGCGUAGAUACUUGACGGUACUAUAUGAAUAAGCACCGGCUAACUCCGUGCCAGCAGCCGCGGUAAUACGGAGGGUGCAAGCGUUAUCCGGAUUUAUUAGGUUUAAAGGGUGUGUAGGCGGGCUAAUAAGUCAGUGGUGAAAUCCCGAUGCUUAACAUCGGCACUGCCAUUGAUACUGUUAGUCUUGAGUACAGAUGAAGUAGGCGGAAUGUGUAAUGUAGCGGUGAAAUGCUUAGAUAUUACCCAGAACACCAAUUGCGAAGGCAGCUUACUAAUCUGAGACUGACGCUGAUGCACGAAAGCGUGGGUAGCGAACAGGAUUAGAUACCCUGGUAGUCCACGCCGUAAACGAUGAUUACUCGUUGUUGGCGAUAAACAGUCAGCGACUGAGCGAAAGCAUUAAGUAAUCCACCUGGGGAGUACGUUGGCAACAAUGAAACUCAAAGGAAUUGACGGGGGCCCGCACAAGCGGAGGAACAUGUGGUUUAAUUCGAUGAUACGCGAGGAACCUUACCUGGGCUUAAAUGUAGUAUGAUUUUACUGGAAACGGUAUUUCCCUUCGGGGCAAAUUACAAGGUGCUGCAUGGCUGUCGUCAGCUCGUGCCGUGAGGUGUCGGGUUAAGUCCCAUAACGAGCGCAACCCCUAUCGUUAGUUGCUAACAGGUAUUGCUGAGGACUCUAGCGAGACUGCCACCGUAAGGUGUGAGGAAGGUGGGGAUGACGUCAAGUCAGCACGGCCCUUAUGUCCAGGGCUACACACGUGUUACAAUGGUCAGUACAAAGGGCAGCUACUUGGUGACAAGGUGCAAAUCUCAAAAACUGAUCUCAGUUCGGAUCGAAGUCUGCAACUCGACUUCGUGAAGUUGGAUUCGCUAGUAAUCGUAUAUCAGCCAUGAUACGGUGAAUACGUUCCCGGGCCU